UACAGAGGGUGCAAGCGUUAAUCGGAAUUACUGGGCGUAAAGCGCGCGUAGGUGGUUUGUUAAGUUGGAUGUGAAAUCCCCGGGCUCAACCUGGGAACUGCAUCCAAAACUGGCAAGCUAGAGUAUGGUAGAGGGUGGUGGAAUUUCCUGUGUAGCGGUGAAAUGCGUAGAUAUAGGAAGGAACACCAGUGGCGAAGGCGACCACCUGGGACUGAUACUGACACUGAGGUGCGAAAGCGUGGGGAGCAAACAGG
rnacentral:rRNA from 1 species